rnacentral:rRNA from 1 species
UACGUAGGGGGCAAGCGUUGUCCGGAAUUAUUGGGCGUAAAGAGCGCGUAGGCGGUCCGAUAAGUCGGCUGUGAAAGUCAGGGGCUCAACCCUUGAAAGCCGGCCGAUACUGUCGGACUAGAGUCCGGAAGAGGCAAGUGGAAUUCCCGGUGUAGCGGUGAAAUGCGCAGAUAUCGGGAGGAACACCAAUGGCGAAGGCAGCUCACUGGGACGGUACUGACGCUGAGACGCGAAAGCGUGGGGAGCAAACAGG